GACCACGUGGCCUAAUGGACAAGGCGUCUGACUUCGGAUCAAAAGAUUGAGCGUUCGAGUCCCUUUGUGGUUG
rnacentral:tRNA from 1 species